GAAAGGCAGCUUUGUUAUUUCUCCCAGAUCAAAGGGAGGGACCCCAAGACCUGUUGGAGCUUAGGUGUUGGCUCAAUUCACUGUGAGAUGGUCAAUUGCUUGGGGUGCUGAGGCAGCCCCUGCUGGGGAGCUGGAGGGAACUGCUGGUGUUUAUUUGGAUGGUGAGAUGCUAUUUAAAAUCAGGCUUUGUUUCUGAAAAUGAGACAGCUGGGGCUACAUUUGGUGGAUAAAGACAUUUUGUUGAACUUUCAAAAUGGGGUAUUAUUUUCCAUUUACACUUAUUUCACGGAGAAUUGUAAGAAGAUGGAAUUGUAGACGUGUCUGCGAUAUGCCGUAAUGAGUGAUGGAUCUUUGAAGCCCUCGACAGCUCAGCCUCAUGCUGGACCUGCCAUUGAGUUACAGCCAUGCAGGAAGCCAUUAUCAGUAAUUGAGGAUCUAUCUUCUAGAUGAAGAUGCACUGUCACCAAGAGGGAAUAAAUCACCUGUUCUACCCUCCCUGCCCUCACUCAAACCUGUAUCCAAUUCAAAUUAAACUGGACCUUCUUGGUACUGCAUAGAUAGGC